rnacentral:rRNA from 1 species
UACAGAGGGUGCGAGCGUUGUUCGGAAUUAUUGGGCGUAAAGGGCGCGUAGGCGGUGCGGUAAGUCACCUGUGAAAUCUCCUGGCUCAACUGGGAGCUUGCAGGCGAAACUGCCGUGCUGGAGUGUGGGAGAGGUGCGUGGAAUUCCUGGUGUAGCGGUGAAAUGCGUAGAUAUCAGGAGGCACACCUGUGGCGAAAGCGGCGCACUGGACCACAACUGACGCUGAGGCGCGAAAGCUAGGGGAGCAAACAGG